rnacentral:tRNA from 1 species
UGGGUCGAGCUGGAUUUGAACCAGCGUCGGCAUAUUGCCAACGAAUUUACAGUCCGUCCCCAUGAGCCACUCGGGCAUCGACCC